rnacentral:rRNA from 1 species
UACGGAGGGUGCGAGCGUUGUCCGGAAUCACUGGGCGUAAAGAGCGUGUAGGCGGUCAGGUAGGUCCGUUGUGAAAACUCGAGGCUCAACCUCGAGACGCCGAUGGAAACCAUCUGACUAGAGUCCGGAAGAGGAGAGUGGAAUUCCUGGUGUAGCGGUGAAAUGCGCAGAUAUCAGGAAGAACACCCGUGGCUAAGGCGGCUCUCUAGUACGGUACUGACGCUAGACGCGAAAAGCGUGGGGAGCGAACAGG